rnacentral:rRNA from 1 species
AGGACGAACGCUGGCGGCGUGCCUAAUACAUGCAAGUCGAACGCACUGACGUCGACAGAAGGUGCUUGCACUGGAAGUUGAUUGACGUGAGUGGCGGACGGGUGAGUAACACGUGGGUAACCUGCCCUUAAGCGGGGGAUAACAUUUGGAAACAGAUGCUACUACCGCAUAAAAGUUGAGAUCACAUGGUCUUAAUUUGAAAGACGGCCUUUGGCUGUCACUUAAGGAUGGACCCGCGGCGUAUUAGCUAGUUGGUGAGAUAAUAGCCCACCAAGGCGAUGAUACGUAGCCGACCUGAGAGGGUAAUCGGCCACAUUGGGACUGAGACACGGCCCAAACUCCUACGGGAGGCAGCAGUAGGGAAUCUUCCACAAUGGACGAAAGUCUGAUGGAGCAACGCCGCGUGAGUGAAGAAGGUUUUCGGAUCGUAAAACUCUGUUGUUGGAGAAGAACAGGGACUAGAGUAACUGUUAGUCCUUUGACGGUGUCCAACCAGAAAGCCACGGCUAACUACGUGCCAGCAGCCGCGGUAAUACGUAGGUGGCAAGCGUUGUCCGGAUUUAUUGGGCGUAAAGCGAGCGCAGGCGGUUUCUUAAGUCUGAUGUGAAAGCCUUCGGCUUAACCGAAGAAGUGCAUCAGAUACUGGGAAACUUGAGUGCAGAAGAGGAAAGUGGAACUCCAUGUGUAGCGGUGAAAUGCGUAGAUAUAUGGAAGAACACCAGUGGCGAAGGCGGCUUUCUGGUCUGUAACUGACGCUGAGGCUCGAAAGUAUGGGGAGCGAACAGGAUUAGAUACCCUGGUAGUCCAUACCGUAAACGAUGAAUGCUAAGUGUUGGAGGGUUUCCGCCCUUCAGUGCUGCAGCUAACGCAUUAAGCAUUCCGCCUGGGGAGUACGACCGCAAGGUUGAAACUCAAAGGAAUUGACGGGGGCCCGCACAAGCGGUGGAGCAUGUGGUUUAAUUCGAAGCUACGCGAAGAACCUUACCAGGUCUUGACAUCUAGCGCCAAUCCUAGAGAUAGGACGUUCCCUUCGGGGACGCUAAGACAGGUGGUGCAUGGUUGUCGUCAGCUCGUGUCGUGAGAUGUUGGGUUAAGUCCCGCAACGAGCGCAACCCUUAUGAUUAGUUGCCAGCAUUUAGUUGGGCACUCUAAUCAGACUGCCGGUGACAAACCGGAGG